UGAUGUGCGGUAAAAGUCUGAAUUCUAAUCAGGUGGUCGCAGGUUCGAAUCCUGCACCAUUAA
rnacentral:tRNA from 1 species